UUGACUCUGUGGAGGCGCGAACCGACUUCAGUUGAAAAUGGAGCGGAUGACCUGUGGAUAGGGGUGAAAGGCCAAUCAAACUCGGUGAUAGCUGGUUCUCCGCGAAAUGCAUUUAGGUGCAGCGUCGUGCGUUCAACGAUGGGGGUAGAGCACUGAAUGGGCUAGGGGUCCUACAAGACUACCGACCCCAAUCAAACUCCGAAUACCAUCGUUCCAGAGCACGGCAGUGAGACCUCGGGGGAUGAGCUUCGAGGUCGAGAGGGAAACAGCCCAGACCGCCGGCUAAGGUCCCAAAAUCUGAACUAAGUGGUAAACGAUGUGAGAUUGCGAAGACAGCCAGGAGGUUGGCUUGGAAGCAGCCAUCCUUGAAAGAGUGCGUAACAGCUCACUGGUCGAGUGAUCUUGCGCGGACAAUGUAACGGGGCUCAAGUUCAGUACCGAAGCCGCGGAUGCGACUCUUUGAGUCGUGUGGUAGCGGAGCGUCGAGCGUGCAGCGAAGCGGCGGGACAACCCAGCCGUGGAGCGCGUUCGAGUGCGAAUGUUGGCAUGAGUAGCGAAUGAGGGGUGAGAACCCCCUCCGCCGUACGUCCAAGGGUUCCUGGGCGAGGCCAAUCCUCCCAGGGUGAGUCGGGAGCUAAGGCGAGGCCGAGAGGCGUAGUCGAUGCACAACUGGUUGAUAUUCCAGUACCACCAUGUUCGCGUCCGUCCCAAUACUCUGUUGCUAAGGGGCUGUGUUGACUUCGGUCAACGCGAACCGACCCACAUUGUUGCGGGAAGCUGUAGGGGGACGCAGGAAGGUAGAUGAACCCGGUGAAUGGUAGAACCGGGGUAAGCGUGUAGGAGGAGGACCAGGUAAAUCCGGGCCUCAUAAACUCUGAGACGUGAUACCGAGCCGCUUCAGGCGAAGUCAUUGAUCCUAUGCUGCCUAGAAAAGCCCAGCAGCGAGUUGACAUGGUGCCCGUACCCCAAACCAACACAGGUGGACAGGUAGAGCAUACCAAGGCGAGUGGGAUAACUAUGGUUAAGGAACUCGGCAAAUUGCCUCCGUAACUUCGGGAGAAGGAGGACCCCAGUAGCGUGAUGAGACUUGCUCUCUGAGCGUGAAGGGGUGGCACAAAAUUGAGGGAAGCGACUGUUUACCAAAAACACAGCAGCGUGCUAAGCCGUAAGGCGCUGUAUACGCUGUGACUCCUGCCCGGUGCUGGAAGGUUGCGGGGAUGGGUUAGUCCUUCGGGACGAAGCUCUGAACCUAAGCCCCAGUAAACGGCGGCCGUAACUAUAACGGUCCUAAGGUAGCGAAAUUCCUUGUCGGGUAAGUUCCGACCUGCACGAAUGGAGUAACGACUUCCCUACUGUCUCAACCAUAGACCCAGCGAAAUUGAAGUACGAGUAAAGAUGCUCGUUAGCUGCAGAAGGACGGAAAGACCCCGUGGACCUUUACUAUAACUUGAUGUUGUGUUUUGCC
rnacentral:rRNA from 1 species